rnacentral:rRNA from 1 species
AUUGAACGCUAGCGGGAUGCUUUACACAUGCAAGUCGAACGAGUGGCGGACGUGUGAGUAAUAUAUCGGAACGUGCCCAGUAGCGGGGGAUAACUACUCGAAACAGUGGCUAAUACCGCAUACCAUCGGAUGUGCCAAUAUGGGAUUAGCUAGUUGGUGGGGUAAAGGCUCACCAAGGCAACGAUCCGUAGCUGGUUUGAUAGGACGACCAGCCACACUGGAACUGAGACACGGCCCAGACUCCUACGGGAGGCAGCAGUGGGGAAUUUUGGACAAUGGGGGAAACCCUGAUCCAGCCAUCCCGCGUGUAUGAGAAGGCCUUCGGGUUGUAAAGUACUUUUGGCAGAGAAGCGGUAUCUGCAGAAUAAGCACCGGCUAACUACGUGCCAGCAGCCGCGGUAAUAC